AACUAACAGGCCACCCUGACUCUAAAUUGAGACUCAUUUACCUCCCUGCUUGAUGGGCAUUUUCGUGGAAAUAAACACACGAACGCUAUAUGAACCGUAUGCAUGGCCGCCAUUUCGGGACUUCCACGUGUUCGCGGCCAUUUUAACUCCCGAACAGCGGUGUUUUGCCGUCGAGUGUCUGGAACUAAAAUCGGACACUCGGAUAGGCGAAUACCGCUGAGACCUGCAUACCUUCGGGAAAUCAUGCCACAACUACCGAACAACAAGGCAUUCGGUAGAAAGACUCGACAACUUAUGGGGAUUCCAGCGAAACCAAGAUAGCAUAUGGAUGGCCAGCCAUUCGGGACUUUUUUACACACGAACUAAGACCAACUGCAGGGCCAGAAUUCAUGGAACUGUUUUCGGCUACUUUGCCCGUGCGGUCGGUCAAAACUUUCAAGUCCCAUAUCUCCCGAACGGCUGAACCGAAUGAGCUGAUUUUCGAAUAUGUUAGUCCCCCAGAAACAAGCUAUCUUGACACCGAAU